rnacentral:lncRNA from 1 species
CUAACAGUUCAAGUAGAUGUUUGUUUUUUAAUACUGUGUACUUACUCCAACCCUAAUGUGAGGAAUUACUUGAGCUCUCUAAUAAACCCUGUGCCAAGAAUCACUGAUAACUUAAAAAUAAUGAAGGCUGAUCCCAUUUAAGUAACCAAUAAUUUAUCCAAGCCUUUACCCAGUCUUGCCAAUAUUCUUUAAAGCCCAAGGAGAUGAUUGGUUCUAUUAUGGACUGUUUGUCAAAACAGGACCUUUUUGUAAUAGCACUUGUCAUACUCCUGUAGGAAAAAAAAAAAGAUAACUAAUAUUCAUAGAUAUAGAUUUAUGCAAGAUAUUGGUGUUAUAACUACAAUGUAAUCUAUUUCUCACUGGUCUCAAACCUAAAUAUUUUGUUCUUAAUGCUACCUGAACCCAUCUACUUCUUAUGUACCUGUUUCCCAUCGUGGCGCAGUGGUUAACGAAUCCGACUAGGAACCAUGAGGUUUUGGGUUCAAUCCCUGGCCUUGCUCAGUGGGUUAACGAUCUGGUGUUGCCGUGAGCUGUGGUAUAGGUCGCAGACGCGGCUCGGAUCCUGUAUUGCUGUGGCUGUGGCAUAGGCUGGCAGCUACAGCUCCGAUUAGACCCCUAGCCUGGGAAACUCCACGUGCUGCGGGAGUGGCCCAAGAAACGGCAAAAAAAAAAAAAAAAGAAAAUCAACAACAUGCCUGGUCUAUUAUACACCAAUGAUUUACUAAAACCUUCUUCUACUUCUUUCAAUCAAGACCUAAAUAUUAUAUUUUCCCUGUGACUUUUCCCUUUUUCUGAAUAUUGUCAAGCAUGCUAUGUUGAUUAAAUCACCUUACCAUUAUAUGAAAAGACUCUCCCAUAACUAUUUACACUCUCACUCAGGUUUUCCAGCCAUUUGUUAAGGCAUUUAUAAGGAUACUACUGCCCUGUCUUCACUCUAAUUCCAAGAAAAAAUCCUAAGACUUAAAAGUAGAUCAUUUUAAAUCAAGAACCUGUAGUUUGGCCCAGGAUUUCCACACUCAUUUAAUCCCCUCAUUAACAUUUUUUAUUCAGUCAACAGUAUUUCUUGAACAUCUACUUUGUACCAUUGUUGAACGUUUCCAAAUUCCUAUGAAGGGGCAACAUAGUUUUAUUAUUUGUCAGAGUUAUUUGAGAUAUAAUUGACAUAUAACACUAUAUAUAUUCAAGGUAUACAAUAUAAUGAUUUAUAUAUAUAUACAUAUAUAUGAUUAAUAAAAUUUGUUCAGUUAACAUUUAUUGCUUCAUGUAGUUAUAUUUUUCCUUGUGAUGUAAACAUUCAACGUUUACACUCUUAGCAACUUCCCAAUAUAUAAUACAGUAUUGUUAACUACAGUCACUAUGUUGUAUAUUACAUUUCCAGAAUUUAUUAAUCUUAUAACUAGAUGUUUUUAAGUAUUUUCAUCCAAUUUCCCCACUGCCCACCCUCGCCUCUGGCAAUGGGAUAAUCUGGUCUCUAUUUUCAUGAGUUUAUUUAUUUAUCCAUUUUUGUGGAUCCCACACAUAAGUGAGAUCAUACAGUAUUUGUCUUUCUCUGACUUAUUUUACUUAGAAUAAUGUCCUCGAGGUCUAUCCAUGUUAUUACAAAUGAUAGGAUUUCCUUCUUUUAUCUUAAUGAGUGAAUUGUAUUCCACUAAUACCUAUAUAUUGUCACCAUGCCUGGGCUAUAGUAGAGAAUGCUAUUAUGAACAAGGGAAUGCAGAUCUCUUUUCAUGAUACAGAUUUUGUUCUCUUCGGAUAUAUACCCAGAAGUGAAACUGCUGUGGAAAGUUAGGUAUAAAAGGCUAUCUUGAAGAUAUGUUUGUUUGGCAAAGAUACUAGUUUUACUUAGGAGGUAUAUUUAUUUGGGAUGGCUCAAAGUGUCAAAUGGCAAUCACGGAGAUUAUAUAACGCUACUUAAUUUAUCUACAUUCCACUUGUCUGUGCCAACACUAUGUGCAGUUCCAAACCAGGAUUAGAAAAGUGAACCCAACAGAAAUGGCGCAGGUGCACAUGGAGUUUGCUGAGGUUUUUUCAAGUCCCCACAUGGAUUGACUCAUUUGGAAACUGAGAAUUUUCCCCAAUCUGAAGCUGAUAUUGUCACCAAAUUGCUGAUUAGUACACAAUCUCCAGCCAACCUCUUGUCCUCACUCCAUACUCCAUAACCAAACACAAGAGUCAGCUCUAUUUUCUGUAAACAGUUCAGGAUAAAUUCCAGGCAAAAUGCCGGGAUUUGUCUAUCUUAUGUUCUUAUUCCUGGAAAUUUGCCCCCAAGACCUCCUCAUUUGCUUUACACUGAGCCUUUCAUAUGCACAGAACCUACACAUCUUUAAGAUUAUUCUGUGAGGAUAUUUUUACAAAUGAAAAUCUUUCAUUACUCUAUUGACUUGAAACUGAAUUUUAAACUGAAUUUUUAGCUAAAUAGAAAUAUUCCUCACUGUAUCCUAGAUGUCAACAACUACAGAAAGUAAGCAGGGAGUCAUUUUGAUUUAAAAUUUUUAAAAAUUAUUAAAUAAUAAUUUAAAGAAUGUACUUACCAGCAUAUUAUUUUACAAAUGCAUAUUAUAGUAAUUAUGAAUUAAAAUGGAAUAAAAGAGACUUUCUUGAAUCCAAUUUAAAAUUUAGAAAUCUCCAUAUGCACUUAAAUAUUAUUUUACAAAUGUCUAAUAUUAAGUGAAUGUCAGAACAAAAUAAAGCCUUCAUUUGAAACUGAGAAGUACAACCUGAAAUCCAACUAUGUAUUUGUUAAAAUACAUCUUUAAAAUCAUCUUCAUAAAGGAGCUAAGGAAUAUAGUGAACUAAACCUAUAGUUGGGUAGAUGAUAUUCCAUGAUCAUGGUUCUCAUAUUUGUUUUCUAUAGCAAAUAAUAAGAACAUUUAUACAUUUUGGCUACAGGAAAUAAUUGUAGCUAAAGUUUGUUUUAGGCUGAGUGGAGCAUCUCCACCAAGGAUUCUAUAUAUUAGGAAUGUACUUUCAUGGCAUAUACUAGGCAACAAAUUGCUCAGUGGCUUGAAUCUGCUCUUUAUUCACUAUUCAAAUUGUUACUAAAAUUUUAUUUUAAUCAUAUGUAGAAACUGUAACCUAAUAAAGUAAAUCGAGGGAUUUCAAUUAUCCUGGGAUGUAAGACAGCAGAUACUGUAUCUGCUUUUUCUUUAGUCACCUGGUAAAGCCAAGAAAAAUGGACAGAAGUAUGAGUGAUAGGGAAAUUUUGCUUAAACAUGUGGGAAACCAUGGCUUGUUAAAUCAAUGUGUAAAGUUAUAUGCAAAAUGAGUUGAAACAGGUACAGUGUUUAAUAGAGGUAAAAUUUCUCAUUUUCCCUACUUUUUCUGAGAGAUUACUGGGCUGAAUUUCCACAAUUUUUUCCUAGUUCAGAAUGUGAUUGUUUUCAUACAA